rnacentral:rRNA from 1 species
UACGUAGGUGGCAAGCGUUGUCCGGAAUUACUGGGCGUAAAGGGCGUGUAGGCGGCGAUUUAAGUCAGAUGUGAAAGAUCAGGGCUUAACCCUGGAGGUGCAUUUGAGACUGGAUGGCUUGAGGACCGGAGAGGGCAGUGGAAUUCCCAGUGUAGCGGUGAAAUACGUAGAUAUUGGGAGGAACACCAGUGGCGAAGGCGACUGCCUGGACGGCGCCUGACGCUGAGGCGCGAAAGCUAGGGGAGCAAACGGG